AAUGAACGCUGGCGGCGUGCUUAACACAUGCAAGUCGAACGAGAAAGGGAUUGCUUGCAAUCCUGAGUAGAGUGGCGCACGGGUGAGUAACACGUAGAUAAUCUACCUUCAAGCCCGGGAUAACUAUUCGAAAGGAUAGCUAAUACCGGAUGAAGUGGUUUAACCCAAGUUGAAUCAUGAAAGAUUGCCUUUUCUUGAAAGCAAUUGUUUGGAGAUGAGUUUGCGGACCAUUAGUUUGUUGGUGGGGUAAAGGCCUACCAAGACUACGAUGGUUAGCUGGUCUGAGAGGAUGAUCAGCCACACUGGAACUGGUACACGGUCCAGACUCCUACGGGAGGCAGCAGUGAGGAAUUUUGCGCAAUGGGGGCAACCCUGACGCAGCAACGCCGCGUGAGUGAAGAAGGCCUUUGGGUCGUAAAGCUCUGUCGAUAGGGAAGAAGUUACAGAUAUCCAAUAGGUAUCUGUAU
rnacentral:rRNA from 1 species